rnacentral:ncRNA from 1 species
CCGUCCUAGUCUCAACCAUAAACGAUGCCGACCAGGGAUCGGCGGAUGUUGCUUAUAGGACUCCGCCGGCACCUUAUGAGAAAUCAAAGUCUUUGGGUUCCGGGGGACGUAUGGUCGCAAGGCUGAAACUUAAAGGAAUUGACGGAAGGGCACCACCAGGCGUGGAGCCUGCGGCUUAAUUUGACUCAACACGGGGAAACUUACCAGGUCCAGACAUAGCAAGGAUUGACAGACUGAGAGCUCUUUC